rnacentral:rRNA from 1 species
CCUACGGGUGGCAGCAGUGAGGAAUAUUGGUCAAUGGGCGGAAGCCUGAACCAGCCAAGUCGCGUGCAGGAUGACGGCCCUACGGGUUGUAAACUGCUUUUAUACGGGAAUAACGCGCCUUACGUGUAGGGCUUUGCAUGUACCGUAUGAAUAAGGACCGGCUAAUUCCGUGCAAGCAGCCGCGGUAAUACGGGAGGUCCGGGCGUUAUCCGGAUUUAUUGGGUUUAAAGGGAGCGUAGGCCGGAUGUCAAGUGUGCGGUGAAAGGUUCGGGCUCAACCCGGGCCUUGCAGCGGAAACUGGCGGGCUUGAGUGCGCGUGAAGCAGGCGGAAUUCGUCGUGUAGCGGUGAAAUGCUGAGAUAUGACGAAGAACCCCGAUUGCGAAGGCAGCUUGCUGCAGCGGAACUGACGCUGAUGCUCGAAAGCGCGGGUAUCGAACAGGAUUAGAUACCCCAGUAGUC